rnacentral:lncRNA from 1 species
CUCCAAAAUUCAAAUAAUCCAAGAAAACUAAAUUCCUUCCACCUCAAGCGUUUCACAUUGGGUUCACCAAAUAUAUCAUAAUACGUGAAGUCUUGCUUGAGAAUGCUCCGAGUACCUCGCCGUGGAAAGAAGAAUGGAAAUUGUAAUAACAAAAUCCUAAUUCUAAUGGAAUACUAAAAUACUUUAAUUAGACCAUAAUAAUGCUAAGCAAGCUUAAAAAAAUUUUAAAAAAAUCUCAAAGAAAUUUCAAACAAACAAUAAGAAUUCUUAAAGAAAUAUUAGAAAGAUCACAAAUAUCACUCAAAUACAUCUCAAUUCAAUCUUAAUUUAAUUCUAGUUAAAAUCCUAUUGAACUUCAUUCAAACUUUACGCCAAAAAUAAUUGAAUCUUAAGUCCUAAUAAAAUCUUAAACCGCAAAUCAAACCCUAAACAAACCUUACACCAAACUCCAAGCAAAUCCUAAA